UACGUAUGGUGCAAGCGUUAUCCGGAUUUACUGGGUGUAAAGGGAGCGCAGGCGGCACGGCAAGCCUGAUGUGAAAGCCCGCGGCCCAACCGCGGGACUGCAUUGGGAACUACCGGGCUGGAGUGCCUGAGAGGUAGGCGGAAUUCCUAGUGUAGCGGUGAAAUGCGUAGAUAUUAGGAGGAACACCAGUGGCGAAAGCGGCUCUCUGGCCUGUAACUGACACUGAGGCUCGAAAGCGUGGGGAGCAAACAGG
rnacentral:rRNA from 1 species